ncrna:unclassified sequences ssnA RNA
AGAUUGAUAGCUGUAACGAAGUGCUGCGCGCACGGGCUUAACGACUAU